AACCAACGCUGGCGGCGUGCCUAAUACAUGCAAGUCGAACGGGGAAAGUAGCAAUAUGAGUACUAGUGGCGCACGGGUGAGUAACGCGUGGAUAAUCUGCCUUGAAGAGGGGGAUAACUAGUCGAAAGAUUAGCUAAUACCGCAUAAGACCACAAGAACUGAGGUUCAAGGGGUCAAAGGUUUUUCGCUUCAAGAUGAGUCCGCGUAAGAUUAGCUAGUUGGUGAGGUAAUGGCUCACCAAGGCAACGAUCUUUAACUGGUCUGAGAGGAUGAUCAGUCACACUGGAACUGAGACACGGUCCAGACUCCUACGGGAGGCAGCAGUAGGGAAUAUUGCACAAUGGAGGAAACUCUGAUGCAGCGACGCCGCGUGAGUGAUGAAGGCCUUCGGGGCGUAAAGCUCUGUCGCAGGGGAAUAACACAAUGAAUGUACCCUGUAAGAAAGGAUCGGCUAACUUCGUG
rnacentral:rRNA from 1 species